rnacentral:rRNA from 1 species
UACGUAGGGGGCGAACGUUGUCCGGAUUUAUUGGGCGUAAAGAGCUCGUAGGCGGCUCAGCAAGUCGGCCGUGAAAACCCGGGGCUCAACCCCGGGACGCCGGUCGAAACUGCUGUGGCUAGGGUCCGGUAGAGGAGAGUGGAAUUCCCGGUGUAGCGGUGAAAUGUGCAGAUAUCGGGAGGAACACCAGUAGCGAAGGCGGCUCUCGGGGCCGGUACCGACGCUGAGGAGCGAAAGCUAGGGGAGCAAACAGG